rnacentral:rRNA from 1 species
GCAGUCGAGCGACAGACGAGGAGCUUGCUCCUCUGACGUUAGCGGCGGACGGGUGAGUAACACGUGGAUAACCUACCUAUAAGACUGGGAUAACUUCGGGAAACCGGAGCUAAUACCUGAUAAUAUAUUGAACCGCAUGGUUCAAUAGUGAAAGACGGUUUUGCUGUCACUUAUAGAUGGAUCCGCGCCGCAUUAGCUAGUUGGUAAGGUAACGGCUUACCAAGGCAACGAUGCGUAGCCGACCUGAGAGGGUGAUCGGCCACACUGGAACUGAGACACGGUCCAGACUCCUACGGGAGGCAGCAGUAGGGAAUCUUCCGCAAUGGGCGAAAGCCUGACGGAGCAACGCCGCGUGAGUGAUGAAGGUCUUCGGAUCGUAAAACUCUGUUAUUAGGGAAGAACAAAUGUGUAAGUAACUAUGCACGUCUUGACGGUACCUAAUCAGAAAGCCACGGCUAACUACGUGCCAGCAGCCGCGGUAAUACGUAGGUGGCAAGCGUUAUCCGGAAUUAUUGGGCGUAAAGCGCGCGUAGGCGGUUUUUUAAGUCUGAUGUGAAAGCCCACGGCUCAACCGUGGAGGGUCAUUGGAAACUGGAAAACUUGAGUGCAGAAGAGGAAAGUGGAAUUCCAUGUGUAGCGGUGAAAUGCGCAGAGAUAUGGAGGAACACCAGUGGCGAAGGCGACUUUCUGGUCUGUAACUGACGCUGAUGUGCGAAAGCGUGGGGAUCAAACAGGAUUAGAUACCCUGGUAGUCCACGCCGUAAACGAUGAGUGCUAAGUGUUAGGGGGUUUCCGCCCCUUAGUGCUGCAGCUAACGCAUUAAGCACUCCGCCUGGGGAGUACGACCGCAAGGUUGAAACUCAUAGGAAUUGACGGGGACCCGCACAAGCGGUGGAGCAUGUGGUUUAAUUCGAAGCAACGCGAAGAACCUUACCAAAUCUUGACAUCCUCUGACCCCUCUAGAGAUAGAGUUUUCCCCUUCGGGGGACAGAGUGACAGGUGGUGCAUGGUUGUCGUCAGCUCGUGUCCUGAGAUGUUGGGUUAAGUCCCGCAACGAGCGCAACCUUUAAGCUUAGUUGCCAUCAUUAAGUUGGGCACUCUAAGUUGACUGCCGGUGACUAACCGAAAGUAACGUU